rnacentral:rRNA from 1 species
UGGGGAAUCUUAGACAAUGGGGGCAACCCUGAUCUAGCCAUGCCGCGUGAUCGAUGAAGGCCUUAGGGUUGUAAAGAUCUUCAGCUGGGAAGAUAAUGACGUACCAGCACUAACUCCGUGCCAGCAGCC